CCUACGGGUGGCAGCAGUGAGGAAUAUUGGUCAAUGGCCGAGAGGCUGAACCAGCCAAGUCGCGUGAAGGAAGAAUGUCCUACGGAUUGUAAACCUCUUUUGUCAGGGAGCAAAUUCACCCACGUGUGGGUGUAGGAGAGUUCCCGAAGAAAAAACAUCGGCUAACUCCGUGACAGCAGCCGCGGUAAUACGGAGGAUGCGAGCGUUUUCCGGAUUUAUUGGGGUUAAAGGGUGCGUAGGCGGGCUAUCAAGUCAGCGGUAAAAUCGUGGAGCUCAACCCCAUCCAGCCGUUGAAACUGAUGAUCUUGAGUGGGCGAGAAGUAUGCGGAAUGCGUGGUGUAGCGGUGAAAUGCAUAGAUAUCACGCAGAACUCCGAUUGCGAAGGCAGCAUACCGGCGCCCGACUGACGCUGAAGCACGAAAGCGUGGGUAUCGAACAGGAUUAGAUACCCCUGUAGUC
rnacentral:rRNA from 1 species